GAUGAACGCUGGCGGCGCGCCUAACACAUGCAAGUCGAACGGCACCCCUCCUCGGAGGGAAGCGAGUGGCGAACGGCUGAGUAACACGUGGAGAACCUGCCCCCUCCCCCGGGAUAGCCGCCCGAAAGGACGGGUAAUACCGGAUACCCCGGGGUGCCGCAUGGCACCCCGGCUAAAGCCCCGACGGGAGGGGAUGGCUCCGCGGCCCAUCAGGUAGACGGCGGGGUGACGGCCCACCGUGCCGACAACGGGUAGCCGGGUUGAGAGACCGGCCGGCCAGAUGGGGACUGAGACACGGCCCAGACUCCUACGGGAGGCAGCAGUGGGGAAUCUUGCGCAAUGGGGGGAACCCUGACGCAGCGACGCCGCGUGCGGGACGGAGGCCUUCGGGUCGUAAACCGCUUUCAGCAGGGAAGAGUCAAGACUGUACCUGCAGAAGAAGCCCCGGCUAACUACGUG
rnacentral:rRNA from 1 species